CCUACGGGUGGCAGCAGUGGGGAAUAUUGGGCAAUGGGCGCAAGCCUGACCCAGCAACGCCGCGUGAAGGAAGAAGGCUUUCGGGUUGUAAACUUCUUUUUAGAGGGAAGAGCAGACGACGGUACCUCUUGAAUAAGCCACGGCUAACUACGUGACAGCAGCCGCGGUAAUACGUAGGUGGCAAGCGUUGUCCGGAGUUACUGGGGGUAAAGGGCGUGUAGCCGGGCUGACAAGGCAGAUGUGAAAUUCCGGGGCGCAACCCCGGACCUGCAUUGGAAACUGUUGGUCUUGAGUAUCGGAGAGGCAGGCGGAAUUCCUAGUGUAGCGGUGAAAUGCGUAGAUAUUAGGAGGAACACCAGUGGCGAAGGCGGCCUGCUGGACGACAACUGACGGUGAGGCGCGAAAGCGUGGGGAGCAAACAGGAUUAGAUACCCCUGUAGUC
rnacentral:rRNA from 1 species